AUGAUGAGUCAACGAGUGGUGGAAUGCAGCAAGCUAAGCCGCGGAUCGGAAAACGAAAAUCAAUUUGGUCCGUGGCUCAGGAAAUCCGCUUUUCCGUUGAAUGGCUGCAGGCACAAAUUGGAUGCAGAGCUCUGGCUCUUCUCCCCCAAAGGCCCCAGCAUGGACGCAUUUGGAAGCAGAGGAGUGAGAAAGAGGGAUAGGAAACAGAGGCGGCCGCCAACGAUGAAGUUCCUAAUGCAACUAAUCAAUCAGGAGAGGGCCCCGGGGCAUGAUAUAGUUUUCAAGAAUGUGUCAUGUUCAUGA
rnacentral:rRNA from 1 species